CCGACCUUAGCUCAGUUGGAAGAGCGUCAGACUGUAACGGAUAAUUAACAUCUGAAUGUCGCCUGUUCGAACCAGGCAGGUCGGA